AACGAACGCUGGCGGCAUGCCUAACACAUGCAAGUCGAACGAGACCUUCGGGUCUAGUGGCGCACGGGUGCGUAACGCGUGGGAACCUGCCCUUAGGCUCGGAAUAACUCUCUGACAGGGGUGCUAAUACCGGAUAAUGUCUUCGGACCAAAGAUUUAUCGCCUUUGGAUGGGCCGGCGUUGGAUUAGCUAGUUGGUAGGGUAAAAGCCUACCAAGGCGACGAUCCAUAGCUGGUCUGAGAGGAUGAUCAGCCACACUGGGACUGAGACACGGCCCAGACUCCUACGGGAGGCAGCAGUAGGGAAUAUUGGACAAUGGGCGAAAGCCUGAUCCAGCAAUGCCGCGUGAGUGAUGAAGGCCUUAGGAUUGUAAAGCUCUGUUACCCGGGAGGAUAAUGACAGUACCGGGAGAAUAAGCUCCGGCUAACUCCGUG
rnacentral:rRNA from 1 species